rnacentral:rRNA from 1 species
GAUGAACGCUGGCGGCGUGCCUAAUACAUGCAAGUCGAGCGAACAGACGAGGAGCUUGCUCCUUUGACGUUAGCCGCGGACGGGUGAGUAACACGUGUAUAACCUACCUAUAAGACUGGGAUAACUUCGGGAAACCGGAGCUAAUACCGGAUAAUAUACUGAACCGCAUGGUUCAAUAGUGAAAGACGGCUUUGCUGUCACUUAUAGAUGGAUCCGCGCCGCAUUAGCUAGUUGGUAAGGUAACGGCUUACCAAGGCAACGAUGCGUAGCCGACCUGAGAGGGUGAUCGGCCACACUGGAACUGAGACACGGUCCAGACGCCUACGGGAGGCAGCAGUCGGGAAUCUUCCGCAAUGGGCGAAAGCCUGACGGAGCAACGCCGCGUGAGUGAUGAAGGUCUUCGGAUCGUAAAACUCUGUUAUUAGGGAAGAACAAAUGUGUAAGUAACUAUGCACGUCUUGACGGUACCUGAUCAGAAAGCCACGGCUAACUACGUG